rnacentral:rRNA from 1 species
AUUGAACGCUGGCGGCAGGCCUAACACAUGCAAGUCGGACGGUAGCACAGAGGAGCUUGCUCCUCGGGUGACGAGUAGCGGACGGGUGAGUAAUGUCUGGGGAUCUGCCCGAUAGAGGGGGAUAACCACUGGAAACGGUGGCUAAUACCGCAUAACGUCGCAAGACCAAAGAGGGGGACCUUCGGGCCUCUCACUAUCGGAUGAACCCAGAUGGGAUUAGCUAGUAGGCGGGGUAACGGCCCACCUAGGCGACGAUCCCUAGCUGGUCUGAGAGGAUGACCAGCCACACUGGAAAUGAGACACGGUGCAGACUCCUACGGGAGGCAGCAGUGGGGAAUAUUGCACAAGGGGAGCAAGCGUGAUGCAGCCAUGCCGCGUGUAUGAAGAAGGCCUUCGGGUUGUAAAGUACUUUCAGCGGGGAGGAAGGCGAUGUGGUUAAUAACCGCGUCGAUUGACGUUACCCGCAGAAGAAGCACCGGCUAACUCCGUGCCAGCAGCCGCGGUAA